CAGGACGGAGCUGACUACAGUGUGGCCGUGUGUGUCCCCGAUUCUUGUGCGGAAGAGGAUGUGACCGCGCUGUCGCAGCUGGAUAUUUUAAGAUUCAGAAAUGCUUCCUUUUUGGCUCCUUCUCUCUCUCUCUUUACCACGAAUUCGAAUUCGUCCUCCUCACCUGGUGGGGGUGUGGCCAGAUGUGCUACUGGAAUGGUCCCCCUGGACACGUUUGCUGCCGUGUGUCUGUUCCUCACCCUGCUUGGCCUCGCCCUCCCUCUGGCUGGGACUGUGUAUGUGGCAGCCUGGGGCUGGGGGUCGGACCGCAGGGCGUCCCCCUCGCAUGGGGCAUGUUCGGCCACGUACGGGAGUCUGCCUUCGAGAGAAACAGAGAGGAGCGGACCAAGAAGCAGAAUCCAGGGGACGGGCGGCCUGUCCCGUGGCUCGCUGCCAGGAACCCCGAGCAGAGGAAAAAGUAGGCAUUUGAGUAAACUAAGACCACUCCUGGGAGGUGGCUUAGAUGAGUCCAAAAUUGGAAAAUAAUUCCUGCAGCACUGGCGUCCAGCGAAUGCCCGACAGCUGCCAAGCGCCAGCGCAGAGGUUGGGUCUCUGCUCUUCACAAUGCGGUCUUUGUUGCCCGUCCGUGUGCUCAGGCGAGGUCACCAAAAAUGCCGCUUUAUUUCUUGGGCACAAUUAUCCAGGGUGUUUUUGAGCUACCCAAAGAAAGACUAGGUCAGCACAGCGCUUGGGUUUCUCCGUAGUGAUCCUCUGGGGAACAAUUCCGUGGUCGCAUUGUGUAGUUUCAGUGUCACAACAACUCAGAUGACUCACAGAACCUUCCUGGCGCGCCCCCAAGGUAAAUGAUUUACAGGCACAAGAAGCCAGGGGAGUGAGUGUGCAACACAGCCGAUUCAGACCCAGCAGAACACGUCGGAGCCAGAAA